GAUGAACGCUGGCGGCGUGCCUAAUACAUGCAAGUCGAGCGAAUGGAUUAAGAGCUUGCUCUUAUGAAGUUAGCGGCGGACGGGUGAGUAACACGUGGGUAACCUGCCCAUAAGACUGGGAUAACUCCGGGAAACCGGGGCUAAUACCGGAUAACAUUUUGAACCGCAUGGUUCGGAAUUGAAAGGCGGCCUCGGCUGUCCCUUAUGGAUGGACCCGCGUCGCAUUAGCUAGUUGGUGAGGUAACGGCUCACCAAGGCAACGAUGCGUAGCCGACCUGAGAGGGUGAUCGGCCACACUGGGACUGAGACACGGCCCAGACUCCUACGGGAGGCAGCAGUAGGGAAUCUUCCGCAAUGGACGAAAGUCUGACGGAGCAACGCCGCGUGAGUGAUGAAGGCUUUCGGGUCGUAAAACUCUGUUGUUAGGGAAGAACAAGUGCUAGUUGAAUAAGCUGGCACCUUGACGGUACCUAACCAGAAAGCCACGGCUAACUACGUGCCAGCCGCCGCCGUAA
rnacentral:rRNA from 1 species